rnacentral:lncRNA from 1 species
CUUCUCCCCCGCCUCUGCCCGCCAAAGCUUCCCGUCAGCUGCAGGUUUACCGCUCCAAGAUGGAUGGCGAGGCCACCAGCCCCCUUCCCCGGACCCGCAGCGGCCCCCUCCCCUCCUCCUCUGGCUCUUCCUCCUCCUCCUCCCAGCUCAGCGUGGCUACCCUGGGGCGUAGCCCCUCCCCAAAGGUCUGAGGACAGUGGGUGGGGCUGCACAUGUGGCUGGGGAUGGAGACUUCCACCCUGGGGAGAGGCCAAGACCUUGGGAAUGGGGGUAAGGGCCUUCUGAGCCCAGGUCCGAACUCUCCAUUCCUCUGCAGAGCGCUCUACUCACCCAGAAUGGCACGGGCAGCCUUCCUCGCAACCUGGCAGCCACACUGCAGGACAUCGAGACCAAGCGCCAACUAGCUCUGCAGCAGAAGGGUGAGUGACUGCCCCGCCAGCCCACCUGCUCUCCUGAGGGGACCCUGGGUAGUUGCCAUGCCUCCUCUAUGCUCACACCUUUCACAGGAUGUUUUUCCUUUAAUUGGGAUCUAGGCAAGACCAGAAAG